rnacentral:rRNA from 1 species
AGGAUAGAGGCAGGUAACUGGUCUUUAUUUGACGGUAAUCAACCAGAAAGUCACGGCUAACUACGUGCCAGCAGCCGCGGUAAUACGUAGGUGGCAAGCGUUGUCCGGAUUUAUUGGGCGUAAAGCGAGCGCAGGCGGAAUGAUAAGUUCUGAUGUGAAAGCCCACGGCUCAACCCGUGGAACNGCAUCGGAAACCUGUCAUUCUGAGGC